GACGAACGCUGGCGGCGCGCUUAACACAUGCAAGUCGAACGGAAAGGCCUGCUUUCCCUUGUGGAUUGCGGGUACUCGAGUGGCGAACGGGUGAGUAACACGUGAGUGAUCUGCCCCCAACUUGGGUAUAAGCCUGGGAAACUGGGUCUAAUUCCCGAUAGGACUGCAGGGUGGUGCCUGUGGUGGAAAACGAUUUUCUAGUGGUUGGGGAUGAGCUCGCGGCCUAUCAGCUUGUUGGUGGGGGAAUGGCCUACCAAGGCGGCGACGGGUAGCCGGCCUGAGAGGGUGGACGGCCACAUUGGGACUGAGAUACGGCCCAGACUCCUACGGGAGGCAGCAGUGGGGAAUAUUACACAAUGGGCGGAAGCCUGAUGCAGCGACGCCGCGUGGGGGAUGACGGCCUUCGGGUUGUAAACUCCUUUCGACCGCGAGGAAGCCACCUGGUUGGAAGGGUGGUGACGGUAGUGGUAGAAGAAGCACCGGCUAACUACGUG
rnacentral:rRNA from 1 species